rnacentral:lncRNA from 1 species
AUUGCCAAAAGAAGUAACCUUUACAGCAAAAGAAAUGGCGCAGAGGCCAAGUGGAAGAAAAAGGACAUCGGUUCUAGUAGCUCCAGAGUGGCGCAUCGACGAUGUUGGCGUCGCCGAACUCCAUGACCGCGGGCGGCGGCUCCAUGAGCAUUCCCUGCGCCAAGCUCGCGUAGUACAAGUCCCAGCUCAUGUCGUUGAACACGUCCAGUUCGAACGCCGAGACCCCGGUGGCCGGAGAGGAGUCUGAGGACUCCUCGCCGUCCGUGGCGCUGCCGUCGUCGCUGGCAGGGGACGAUGGCGUCGAGGUCGACGCCGAGAGCGCGUCGUCCUCUGGGGCGGCCUCGCGGCGCAGGAAGUCCUCCACGGCCUCGGCGACCGCGUGGCGCACCUCGGCGAGGCUGGCGUAGGAGGCCGGCACGGCGAGCAGCCACGCCGAGUCGGCGAAGUUGAGGCACGCGCCCGCGCCGGCGAUGGCGAGCAUGGCGGCGUCGUGCGCGCGCGCGGCCCCCUCCGCGGUGUCGAAGGUGCCGAGCCAGAGCCUGCAGCCGCGCCGGCCGGGCACGCGCACCUCGCACACCCAGCGCCCGGCGUUGCCACGGCGCCGGACGCCGCGGAACACGGGGUGCCGCGUCUCCCGGAACUUGGUCCGCCCGGCGGGCCGCUUCGGCGGCGACGUCCACACCGUCUGGUGGUGCUCCGACGAUGUCGAGGCCGAGGCUGAGCUGCACGGGGAGCACGACUCGGCGAUCAUCUCCUUCUUGAUUUGGCACAUCUUGUUCUGAUCACUUCAAGUUCAAGUUUUUUUGAGCGCAGGGUGUUGUGGUUGCCUUUGGUGCUGCUUGAAUUGUGUUGGAGUGGUUUUUGCUGU